rnacentral:rRNA from 1 species
GACAGGUGCUGCAUGGCUGUCGUCAGCUCGUGUUGUGAAAUGUUGGGUUAAGUCCCGCAACGAGCGCAACCCUUAUCCUUUGUUGCCAGCGGUCCGGCCGGGAACUCAAAGGAGACUGCCAGUGAUAAACUGGAGGAAGGUGGGGAUGACGUCAAGUCAUCAUGGCCCUUACGACCAGGGCUACACACGUGCUACAAUGGCGCAUACAAAGAGAAGCGACCUCGCGAGAGCAAGCGGACCUCAUAAAGUGCGUCGUAGUCCGGAUUGGAGUCUGCAACUCGACUCCAUGAAGUCGGAAUCGCUAGUAAUCGUGGAUCAGAAUGCCACGGUGAAUACGUUCCCGGGCCUUGUACACACCGCCCGUCACACCAUGGGAGUGGGUUGCAAAAGAAGUAGGUAGCUUAACCUUCGGGAGGGCGCUUACCACUUUGUGAUUCAUGACUGGGGUGAAGUCGUAACAAGGUAACCGUAGGGGAACCUGCGGCUGGAUCACCUC